rnacentral:rRNA from 1 species
AGGAAAUAGAUACCCGGGUAGUCCUAGCCCUAAACGAUGCUCAUUAGAUGUGGGAGGUAUCGACCCCUUCCGCGUCGGCGCUAAACGCAUUAAAUGAGCCGCCUGGGGAGUACGGCCGCAAGGUUGAAACUCAAAGGAAUUGACGGGGGCCCGCACAAGCGGUGGAGCAUGUGGUUUAAAUUCGACGCAACGCGAAGAACCUUACCCGGGCUUGAACUACUCGUGGUAGGCAACUGGAAACAGAUGCCGACCCGCAAGGGGGCGAGCAGAGGUGCUGCAUGGUUGUCGUCAGCUCGUGUCGUGAGAUGUUGGGUUAAGUCCCGCAACGAGCGCAACCCCCAUUCGAUGUUGCUAAUCCCGCAAGGGAUGCACUCUUCGAAAACUGCCUUCGAUAAGAAGGAGGAAGGUGGGGAUGACGUCAAAUCCUCAUGGCCCUUAUGUCCGGGGCGUACACACGUGCUACAAC